AAAAGGUUAAAAUUCAUAAUCACUCAUGAUUGGUGGGAGUGUAAAUAACCCCAAGUUAUUUAAGUUAGGUUUCAGUGUUAAUUAUUUAUGCUGCUUUUAAUUACUUCUCUAUUUCUUUAAAAAUUGUUGUGUUUUUGUUAUUUAUUUGAACUCCGCUUUGCACUAAGUUAUUUAGCCUAUAGAGGCCCUUAUUUUGAUGCGCGGCUUGCCGGAAGUGGUCAGGUGCGCGAGCGCGCGCAGAUCACGGAAGCAGGGAGAUCGGAGAAGUGCGCCUAGCACGAGGGAGAGAGCGAUCGCUUGUACAGAGAAAUGCACGGAGCUAAAGUUACAUUUAAGGACUGAUUUAAGAGAGAUUUAAUGCAUAUUUGAGUUUGUUUUUUGUUCUGUUCAUCUUCAUUGUUUGAACACCUGGUUGGAAGGGAGAACAAGCUCUUACGGUGUUGUACAGUCUUUAAGGACGGCAAAUGCAACAAUAAAGGCACAAAGGAGGACAGUGCAACAUCAGUG